AUUUUUCCCAUGGUAAUUUUUCUUUUUCUUUUUUUUUUUUUAAAGAGUUUGGCUCUGUCACCCAGACUGGAGUGUAGUGGCAAGAUCAUGGCUCACUACAGCCUCAACCUCCUGGGCCCAAGUGAUCCUCUCACCUCAGCCUCCCAAGUAGCUAGGACCAGCUAAUUUUAUUUUAUUUUUUGUAGAGAUGGGGUUUUCCUGUGUUGCCCAGGCUGGUCUCAAACUCCUAAGCUCAAUUGAUCCUCCCACCCCAGCCUCCCAAAGUGCUAGCCACCGCACCCAGCCUCUCAUGAAAAUUUCUGAUAACAGAUUUGGUUGUUCUCUGAUAUUCUUGAUAAGCUAUUUUUAUUUUUAGAGCAUAUUUACAGGAAUUACAAGUUCAUCAGUAGACUUCGAUCCAUACUGCUUGGUGAUCUCCAAAAAAGGCACACAGUAGGCACUGAAUAAAUGCAUGCUGACCUCACCUGUUAAGUUUUUCAGAGAAGAGGGCCUGGCCUGUGUAACUUGGGUGAAAUUUCUAUACCAGAGAGGAGCAAGUGUUUCCUAGAGAGCCCUUUCUUUUCUCCAGAAGAUAUGGCUUUUGAAGAAACGGGGCUUCACUGUGUUGCCCAGGCUGGUCUCGAACUCGUGGGCUAAAGUGAUCUGCUCGCCUCAGCCUCCCGAAGUGCCAAGAUUACAGGCAUAAACCACUGCGCCCUGCCAACAAUGACAACCUAACAGCAACGGGCACAUGGCACCCAGACUGUGGU